GAUGAACGCUGGCGGCGUGCUUAACACAUGCAAGUCGAGCGGUAACACAGAGAGCUUGCUCUCGGGUGACGAGCGGCGGACGGGUGAGUAAUGUCUGGGAAACUGCCUGAUGGAGGGGGAUAACUACUGGAAACGGUAGCUAAUACCGCAUAACGUCGCAAGACCAAAGAGGGGGACCUUCGGGCCUCUUGCCAUCAGAUGUGCCCAGAUGGGAUUAGCUAGUAGGUGGGGUAACGGCUCACCUAGGCGACGAUCCCUAGCUGGUCUGAGAGGAUGACCAGCCACACUGGAACUGAGACACGGUCCAGACUCCUACGGGAGGCAGCAGUGGGGAAUAUUGCACAAUGGGCGCAAGCCUGAUGCAGCCAUGCCGCGUGUAUGAAGAAGGCCUUCGGGUUGUAAAGUACUUUCAGCGGGGAGGAAGGUGUUGAGGUUAAUAACCUCAGCAAUUGACGUUACCCGCAGAAGAAGCACCGGCUAACUCCGUGCCAGCAGCCGCAGUAAAAC
rnacentral:rRNA from 1 species